GAUCCAUGGAGCCCAUGAAGUUGAUAUGAAUGUGUUGUUUGUGGGAAUGAAGGGCUAUGAUUGGUUGUGUUGGGACCUCUCUGGGCCAGUCUCCAUGGCCAAGGAAGUUGAAGAUAGAACGUGGGGAUGACAACUUGGAGUGGGGGGAUUUGCAGCUCCAAAGGGAAGCAUCUCAUCACUCACUUUCCCUCAAGAUAAGUGUAAUUUAUUUAAUUCACUCACCUCUUCUCCACCUUCAGAGUGUAUUUUAUCCCUUUUACUUUUGACCUUUUCUUUCAAUUUCAGUGAUGCUAGAAGUUGAUUUAUCAUUCCCCACGAAGAUUCGAUAUCCUUUGUAUCCAUCCCCAAAUCUCAGGUUUGCAGAUUUCAUUUUUGUAAAAGUUGUUGAGGCUUAUAAAUGGUGGCUAAAAGUCAGCAACAAAUGGUAGGUGUACUGCAGAUUCAACAUUAAUUAUACAGAGCUUACUUUAGAUUCUGUGUCCCCAAAAGUCUUUGCAUUAUUUUCCAUAUGUGAUUUGAUGAAACGUCAAUAUUUAUAUCUGAAUUGGAUUUUCAUGGGAAA